GACAGAGGGUGCAAACGUUGUUCGGAAUUACUGGGCGUAAAGCGCGUGUAGGCGGCUAUGCAAGUCGGGCGUGAAAUCCCACGGCUCAACCGUGGAAGUGCACCCGAAACUGCGUUGCUAGAGUCCUGGAGAGGAAGGUGGAAUGCUUGGUGUAGAGGUGAAAUUCGUAGAUAUCAAGCGGAACACCGGUGGCGAAGGCGGCCUUCUGGACAGUGACUGACGCUGAGACGCGAAAGCGUGGGGAGCAAACAGG
rnacentral:rRNA from 1 species